GAAAUGUUGAUAAUUCCUUUUUCUCCACAGCUGCUGCUUGAUCUGUGGAUUUCCUCCUGCUGAUGGAUUAUUGUUCCAGAUUCCAGCAUCGGGAGCCUCUUUUUUCUCUCUGUGAAGGCUGCUGUUAUGUGUUCCAAGGGACCAGCGUUUGAUCCUGACUUUUCAUGUGGAGUUCAUCCUGUGUCUCUUUUAGUUUCUUCCCACAUCCCAAAGACAUGCAGGGGGCCGUGCACAAUCCUGAUUUGAUGGAGACAGCCGUGAGAAGCACAGAGGAACACCUGGAGAAACUUCUGAAAUGCCCACUUCGCUGCUGCUGCUACUGUGCGAUCGAGAAUCUCCAGAGGGGAAGGCCCCAAAUCCUCGGCUUUGCCUACUGCCUGUUGCCAGGGCUGGGGUCGAAGCACUUGGCAGAGAUGGUGCUCGGUGUCAGAGGCUCGGAGUUUUCAGACGGACUCGGAGUCGGACUGUGGUCGGAUGCUUCCAGGAUGCUGCAUCGGAAAAUUUGCGGCGCUGGAGGUUCACCGUCUGCGUGAGAUGAUGGGACUUUGAGACUUUUACCGUGCCCACGGACUGUUCUUAUCAAAUUACUGUAUUGCUUUGCACUGUUGUAACUAUAUGUUAUAAUUAUGUGGUUUUUCUCAAGUUUUUAAGUCAGUUUGUCAUGUGUUUCUGUGAUAUCAUUCUGGAAAACCAUUGUAUCAUUUCUUAAUGCAUGCAUUACUAAAUCACAAUAAAGGAGGACUGCGUGUCCUCAUAAUCUAAUCUAAUCAAUCGUUAGGUAUUAAUAUUGAAGUAGUAAAAUGGAUUCAACAGUGGCUGGAUGGGAGAUGCCAGAGAGUAGCGAUGGAUAACUGUUUGUCAGGUUGGAGACCGGUGACUAGUGGUGUGCCUCAGUGUUCUGUACUGGGUCCAAUGUUGUUUGUCAUAUACAUUAAUGAUCUGGAUGAUGGAGUGGUAAAUUGGAUUAGUAAGUGUGCAGAUGAUACUAAGAUAGGUGGCGUUGUGGAUAAUGAAGUAGGUUUUCAAAGUUUGCAGAGAGAUUUAGGCCAGUUAGAAGAGUGAGCUGAAAGAUGGCAGAUGGAGUUUAAUGCUGAUAAGUGUGAGGUGCUACAUUUUGGCAGGACUAAUCAAAGUAGGACAUACAUGGUAAAUGGUAGGGCAUUGAGGAAUGCGGUGGAACAAAGUGAUCUUGGAAUAAUGGUGUAUAGUUCCCUGAAGGUGGAAUCUCAUGUGGAUAGGGUGGUGAAGAAAGCUUUUGGUAUGCUGGCCUUUAUAAAUCAAAGCAUUGAGUAUAGGAGUUGGGAUGUAAUGUUGAAAUUGUACAAGGCAUUGGUGAGGCCAAAUUUGGAGUAUUGUGUACUGUUCUGGUCACCAAAUUAUAGGAAAGAUGUCAACAAAAUAGUGAGAGUACAGAGGAGGUUUACUAGAAUUUUACCUGGGGUUCAGCACCUAAGUUACAGAGAAAGGUUGAACAAGUUGGGUCUUUAUUCUUUGGAGCAUAGAAGGUUGAGGGGGGACUUGACAGAGGUGUUUAAAAUUAUGAGGGGGAUAGACAGAGUUGACGUGGAUAGGCUUUUUCCAUUAAGAGUAGGUGAGAUUCAAACAAGAGGACAUGAGCUGAGAGUUAAGGGGCAAAAGUUUACAGGUAACACGAGGGGGAACUUCUUUACUCAGAGAGUGGUAGCUGUGUGGAACGAGCUUCCAGUAGAAGUGGUAGAGGCAGGUUCGAUUUUGUCAUUUAAAAAAAAAUUGGAUAGGUAUAUGUACAGGAAAGGAAUGGAGGGUUAUGGACUGAGUGCAGGUAGAUGGGACCAGGUGAGAGUAAGCGUUCGGCACGGACUAGAAGGGCCGAGAUGGCCUGUUUCUGUGCUGUAAUUGUUAUAUGGUUAUAAGGAUAGCAUGGACUUGGUGGGUUGAAGGGCCGGUUUCCAUGCUGUAAGAUUCUAUGGUUCUAUGACUAAGACAAGGGAGCUAAGGGCUAAGACAAGGGAGAAAGCAGUCAGUGUUGAGGAUGUAGAAUUAAGCAGUGAAAUUUUGAAUUUUGAAUUUUGUUCAUAAGUAUUGUAACAAUACUACCAGCCAUAUAAAAGCAUGUACUGUGUUAUAUUAUUUUAGAUCCAUCUCCUUGUUUGUUUUUUUCCCUUAGUUCCUUAAUAAUUUCCUUCCACAAAUGUGUAGGGAAGACUUAAAGGAAUAUGGGCCAAAUGUAGACAAAUGGAGCUAACAUAGGGCAUCAUGUUCAUCAGAGAUGAGUUAGGCUGAAGGGCCUGGUUCGAUGCUGUGUUACUCUAUGAUGCUAUGCUUGCAUAAUUUCCAACCAACUCAUCUUUAACCUGAAUGUCAAGUCUCUCUCAACCAAGAUGGUCUUCAAAUGGUUCUGUUUAUUGUCAGAGAAUGGACAUCCAUGAAAAACA